UACAGAGGUCUCAAGCGUUGUUCGGAUUCAUUGGGCGUAAAGGGUGUGUAGGUGGCGCCGUAAGUCGGGUGUGAAAUCUUGGGGCUUAACCCCGAAACGGCACUCGAAACUGCCCGGCUGGAGGGCCGGAGAGGAGAUCGGAAUUCACGGUGUAGCAGUGAAAUGCGUAGAGAUCGUGAGGAAGACCCGUGGCGAAGGCGGAUCUCUGGACGGCUAACUGACGCUGAGGCGCGAAGGCCAGGGGAGCAAACGGG
rnacentral:rRNA from 1 species